GCGUUGGUGGUUCAGUGGUAGAAUUCUCGCCUGCCAUGUGGGAGGCUCGGGUUUGAUUCUCAGCCUAUGCA
rnacentral:tRNA from 1 species